rnacentral:rRNA from 1 species
GACGCUAAUACCGCAUACGUCCUACGGGAGAAAGCAGGGGACCUUCGGGCCUUGCGCUAUCAUAUGAGCCUAGGUCGGAUUAGCUAGUUGGUGGGGUAAUGGCUCACCAAGGCGACGAUCCGUAACUGGUCUGAAAGGAUGAUCAGUCACACUGGAACUGAGACACGGUCCAGACUCCUACGGGAGGCAGCAGUGGGGAAUAUUGGACAAUGGGCGAAAGCCUGAUCCAGCCAUGCCGCGUGUGUGAAGAAGGUCUUCGGAUUGUAAAGCACUUUUAAGUUGGGAGGAAGGGCAGUAAAUUAAUACUUUGCUGUUUUGACAUUUCCCCCAGAAUCAGCCCCCGGCUAACUCUGUGCCAACAGCCGCGGUAAUAUAGAGGGUGCAA